CUACGGGCGGCAGCAGUGGGGAAUCUUAGACAAUGGGGGCAACCCUGAUCUAGCCAUGCCGCGUGAGUGACGAAGGCCUUAGGGUCGUAAAGCUCUUUCGCUGGGGAAGAUAAUGACUGUACCCAGUAAAGAAACCCCGGCUAACUCCGUGCCAGCAGCCGCGGUAAUACGGAGGGGGUUAGCGUUGUUCGGAAUUACUGGGCGUAAAGCGCGCGUAGGCGGAUCAGAAAGUUGGGGGUGAAAUCCCGGGGCUCAACCCCGGAACUGCCUUCAAAACUCCUGGUCUUGAGUUCGAGAGAGGUGAGUGGAAUUCCGAGUGUAGAGAUGAAAUUCGUAGAUAUUCGGAGGAACACCAGUGGCGAAGGCGGCUCACUGGCUCGAUACUGACGCUGAGGUGCGAAAGCGUGGGGAGCAAACAGGAUUAGAUACCCCCGUAGUC
rnacentral:rRNA from 1 species